rnacentral:rRNA from 1 species
UACAGAGGUCUCAAGCGUUGUUCGGAUUCAUUGGGCGUAAAGGGUGCGUAGGCGGCGCGGUAAGUCGGGUGUGAAAUCUCGGAGCUUAACUCCGAAACUGCAUUCGAUACUGCCGUGCUUGAGGACUGGAGAGGAGACUGGAAUUUACGGUGUAGCGGUGAAAUGCGUUAGAUAUGUGAAGGAAGACCAGUGGCGAAGGCGGGUCUCUGGACAGUUCCUGACGCUGAGGCACGAAGGUCAGGGGAGCAAACGGGG